rnacentral:rRNA from 1 species
CCUAGGGAGGCUGCAGUGGGGAAUAUUGGACAAUGGGGGAAACCCUGAUCCAGCAAUGCCGCGUGUGUGAAGAAGGCCUGCGGGUUGUAAAGCACUUUCGGUUGGGAGGACUGCUUCUAGCACUAAUAUUGUUGGAAGUUGACGUUACCUUCAGAAGAAGCACCGGCUAACUCCGUGCCAGCAGCCGCGGUAAUACGGAGGGUGCAAGCGUUAAUCGGAAUGACUGGGCGUAAAGCGCGCGUAGGCGGCUAGAUCAGUCGGGUGUGAAAGCCCCGGGCUUAACCUGGGAACUGCAUCCGAUACUGUCUAGCUUGAGUACAGGAGAGGAGAGUGGAAUUCCACAUGUAGCGGCGAAAUGCGUAGAUAUGUGGAGGAACACCAAUGGCGAAGGCAGCUCUCUGGCCUGAUACUGACGCUGAGGUGCGAAGGCGUGGGGAGCAAACAGGAUUAGAUACCCUUGUAGUC